AGCAGUCUCCGAGAUGGUUUACCGGCAUCUGGUGUCUGUCGGGUUUCCCGCUGCUAGAUGUCAUCUCAGCCAGUGUGACAUCACCCCAAACCAGUGUAAUUCCCCCCAUACACAACCGCAUCGUAGCGAUUGGGCAUCGCGGGGAGGAGACAUUGGCUACCUGAGAAGACCCCCGAGGAAGGAUGAAGAAUUCUCUCAGUUUAGGCUUCAAUUGUUCGCUGCCAUGUAGAGUACUUUGUAGCAGCAAAAGGGAUGUCGACGCCUCCCUAUACUGAAGCGCUCCCAUUGCGAAACUUCCUUCUUGACUGUUUAGAGAACAUGAAGUCCCCACAUUGGCCUGGCCCUGGAAAAAUCAAGACACAAGAAUGAAUGAACAUGUCUGCUUAGUGAGCCAAGAAAAAGGCAGAAACUUGAGGCCUGGGGUUGAGCAGAUCCUGCUUAAAAAGCAGGCUUUAGUCAUGAAUUGUGCAUUUUGCCCUACUUCACCAGAACUCUAUGACUGACUCCUAAUUUACUCUCUCAAGCUAUGUCCCUUUUGUGUUUAAAACAUCUCAAUUUUUA